rnacentral:misc_RNA from 1 species
AGAAAGUGUUAGGGUUGCAGAAACCCUAAAAGAGAAAAUAGAGAAGAAUAGGGAAGAAAAUAGAAGAGAAAGAGAGAAAAGAAAUAGAAGAAUAUUAUUGUGAGAAGAUAAAGUAUUGUUUCUUGAUAAUUCUGGAAUGAAUUACAAGAUUACACUCUGUAAAGCUAUAUAGCAGUUGGUAACUGCCAGUAACUAAUUCUCCAGUAGCUAAGCUAGCUAGUAACUGACAUAACAACCUAUUUCCCACCUUCCUCAUUCAGUUGUACUCCCUAAUGAGUAAUGACAAAGCUAUUUAUUAUUCUCUACAAUUUAUCUCACCAUAACAUCACUUCCCUACUUAUUAUUCUCUACGAUUGAUCUCACCAUAACAAUACUUCCCUACUCCCUAUUCUUUGUAUAUCUUCUCCAGCAAUACGUAACAGAAAGCUCCCUGAUUUCCCUUGCUCUGGUGUGUUUGAACUCCAGCCUCAGCUCUUUUUGUUUUUCACAUUUUAACAUUUUUUUCCCUUCACUUGUUUAACAAUUAUUGCUUUUUGCUUUCAAGUUAGUUAUGAUAUUAUUCGAUUUUUUUUUUUUAAUCUUAUUCAUUCUUAUAGAAGUCUUAAAAUUAUUUUUUCCAUCUUUCACUCAUUUUUAUUGGUUUCUCCUUUUCAUUUUUCAAUGACCAAGUCUUUGUUCUACUCUCUCUCUCUCUCUCUC